UACUAAGAGUAACAUGCAACUUAAUAGUUCUACCAAGAGUCGAAACGAACACCCAUAACGGUUCAGAAUUACAGUCCACAAUGAAUUUAACACGGCAUUCGAAGUUCAAUUAUGCCGACCCCAAAAUACAAACAGAAAGUUCAAUUCAGACUUCCUGUUCUUCAACUCUUCAGUCUUGCACCAAAAGUAUUGAAUCGAACAGAGACCUUCACUUCAGACUUCCUGUUCAUCCACCCGUUAGUCUUCAUCAAACCAAAAGCUCUUUUGCUCCCAUGCCGCUUAACCUUGCAAUUAAAGCAUUGUGAAUUAUAUAAACAUUACAAGUAGAUGGCAGAAACAACAAUUCAAUGAUGGCAACCGCAAUUAGAACAACAUAUAAAAUCAUAUGGGCAGAAACAAUGUGAAUUAUAUAAAUAUUACAAGUAGACGGAAGAAACAACUCAUAGAUGACAACCCAAAUUAAAACAACAUAUAAAUUCAGAUGGACUAAAGCAUUGUGAAUUAUAUAAACAUUACAAGUAGAUGACAGCAAUAACUCAUAGAUGGCAGCCCCAAUUGAAACACCAUAUAGAAUCAUAUGGACUAACGCAUUGUGAAUUAUAUAAACAUCAAGUAGAUGGCAGAA
rnacentral:lncRNA from 1 species